rnacentral:rRNA from 1 species
GAUGAACGCCGGCGGUGUGCCUAAUACAUGCAAGUCGAACGCGUUGGCCUAAUUGAUUGAUGGUGCUUGCACCUGAUUGAUUUUGGUCGCCAACGAGUGGCGGACUGGUGAGUAACACGUAGGUAACCUGCCCAGAAGCUGGGGACAACCUUUGGACACAGAUGCUAAUACCGCAUAACAGCGUUGUUCGCAUGAACAACGCUUAAAAGAUGGCUUCUCGCUAUCACUUCUGGAUGGACCUGCGGUGCAUUAGCUUGUUGGUGGGGUAACGGCCUACCAAGGCGAUGAUGCGUAGCCGAGUUGAGAGACUGAUCGGCCACAAUGGGACUGAGACACGGCCCAGACUCCUACGGGAGGCAGCAGUAGGGAAUCUUCCACAAUGGGCGCAAGCCUGAUGGAGCAACACCGCGUGAGUGAAGAAGGGUUUCGGCUCGUAAAGCUCUGUUGUUAAAGAAGAACACGUAUGAGAGUAACUGUUCAUACGUUGACGGUAUUUAAACAGAAAGUCACGGCUAACUACGUG